AUUGAACGCUGGCGGCAUGCUUUACACAUGCAAGUCGAACGGCAGCGCGGGCUUCGGCCUGGCGGCGAGUGGCGAACGGGUGAGUAAUGCAUCGGAACGUGCCCAGUAGUGGGGGAUAGCCCGGCGAAAGCCGGAUUAAUACCGCAUACGACCUGAGGGUGAAAGCGGGGGACCGAAAGGCCUCGCGCUAUUGGAGCGGCCGAUGUCGGAUUAGCUAGUUGGUGGGGUAAAGGCUUACCAAGGCGACGAUCCGUAGCUGGUCUGAGAGGACGACCAGCCACACUGGGACUGAGACACGGCCCCGAGUCCCACGGGAGGCAGCAGUGGGGAAUUUUGGACAAUGGGGGCCACCCUGAUCCAGCCCUGGCCGGUGGCGGAAGAAGGCCUUCGGGUUUUUAAACCCUUUUGUUUGGGAAGAAAUCCUCUGGGCCAAUACCCCGGGGGGAUGACGGUACCGGAAGAAUAAGCACCGGCUAACUACGUG
rnacentral:rRNA from 1 species